rnacentral:rRNA from 1 species
UACGAAGGGGGCUAGCGUUGUUCGGAAUUACUGGGCGUAAAGCGCACGUAGGCGGACUACUAAGUCAGGGGUGAAAGCCCGGGGCUCAACUCCGGAAUUGCCUUUAAGACUGCAUCGCUAGAAUUGUGGAGAGGUAAGUGGAAUUCCGAGUGUAGAGGUGAAAUUCGUAGAUAUUCGGAAGAACACCAGUGGCGAAGGCGACUUACUGGACACAUAUUGACGCUGAGGUGCGAAAGCGUGGGGAGCAAACAGG